UUGCUCGGACCAAGACAGUCGAAAUGCAAAGACAUCUUGUCAAAUGACGUGUACUCUGUAAUAUUGGCCAGUGGCUAACAUUGUAUAUUUAGGCAGCUGAAUAGUAUUGAUGUCAGCCAUGGCACACACUAUACUUUCAUCAAAACAUGUAU